rnacentral:rRNA from 1 species
UACGGGGGGGGCAAGCGUUGUUCGGAAUUACUGGGCGUAAAGGGCUCGUAGGUGGCCAACUAAGUCAGACGUGAAAUCCCUCAGCUUAACUGGGGAACUGCGUCUAAUACUGGAUGGCUUGAGUUUGGGAGAGGGAUGCGGAAUUCCAGGCGUAGCGGUGAAAUGCGUAGAUAUCUGGAGGAACACCGGUGGCGAAGGCGGCAUCCUGGACCAAUACUGACACUGAGGAGCGAAAGCCAGGGGAGCAAACGGG